AAUACAAAUUUUAAAAAUAAAAAUUGGUGAGCAACACAGCUUAAGUAAUUUCCUCUUAAAGUUGAAUUGUUCGGCAGAAACAGACGCGCAUCACGACAAGCGACUGGAAAACAAGACGCCGGCGGAUGUUUGCAAAUGAAGCUGAGGUGAGGACUCGCUUGAGGGUAUCCACGAUCUCCUGGAAUGGGCUCAGGGGAGCUCAUACUGUUGACAGUUCUGUUCCAGUCCUCUGUUACAGUAUGUGGACAUGGACACAGACCGAAGGAGCAAACAGGCUUUUAGUGAGAGGUAUGAGCAAUGUCAGGAAAUGGCAGUUAAUGAUAGGUAAAUAACAGUUCUGUGUUGGAGACUAAUAGAUGAUAAGAAUGUAAACCAGACUUUCCUUGUUGUCAAGUGCAGGAGAUCAUGGAUGGGGAAACAGAUGGAGAGUUAGCACACACUCCAUCAUACGUGUAAGUAUCCAGGUAAUCUUGAACAAACAACACAGGUAACACAAGUAUGGGAAGACAUGCUGAAGGGAAUUGCUGGAUAUAUUCGCUGGGGAUCAGGAGAACAAUUAAGCAAUCCUCAAAUGAACCAGACAGACAAUUAAGUGAGAUGAGGUGUUUGCUUAAGUAGCAUGGGUGAGGGAGUGCACUGUGAUAGGGUUAUUAGCCCAAUUUUGCAUCCUGUAUUCUAUCCCAAUUCAAAUAAAUUUAAAAUUUAAGAUGACAAAAAUCUUAUUUAGGAUAACAUUAAAAAACAAAACAAUAAUAAUCUUUAUAUUAAUUAAAAAGACCAAUUACAGCUUUUCUCAAUUGAUUUGACACAUUUCUCCAAACUCAGAUCACUGUUCUCAAAACAGUUAAAACCUCUAGUCUUGCUGCUCAGUUUGUAUGCAACCCACACAACAGUCUCCACUUAGACAAGGACAAACAUCAUCUCAACAUUCUGUUGACUUGAAAUUUUCCCCCAGAUGUUGGAAACAAUCCAUACAUACAAAGAAAACAAAACCUUCAUGGUUAUUUCGCUAAACACAGCUCCGUGUGAAACUGAUAUUAUGAAACAGAUGAACUCUUAUGAACAGAAUCAAGCAACUAAAGCAGUUCAUUUGAAAAUGAGUCAUCAAACUGUCAAAUGGUCUUCGUGAGAGCUAAGCUCUGAGAAAAGGCCAGUUUCUAAAUUGGUCCACUGCCGCAAUACUGACAAAUAGACACUCGUUCAUUUAUUUAAGGUUUUUAAGGAGGGAUGCAUGGCGUGUUUGCAAUUCUUUUAAAGAACAAUUCUCAUCUAUUACAGACAUCAAAACAGACGAGGCC
rnacentral:lncRNA from 1 species